GAGUUUGCACAGAGGCAAUAUCGCAGCCAAUGAGGUUAUCCGAGGUACGAUUGCUAGUUGAAAACUUAUAAAAAAAUAUUUAAAUUUAUAUUUAUAAUAAUUAUUUCUAUUUCUAAACAUGA